rnacentral:rRNA from 1 species
CCUACGGGAGGCAGCAGUGAGGAAUAUUGGUCAAUGGACGUAAGCCUGAACCAGCCAAGUCGCGUGAAGGAUGAAGGUUCUAUGGGUCGUAAACUGCUUUUAUAAGGGAAUAAAGUGUGUGACGUGUGCUAUUUUGUAUGUACCGUAUGAAUAAGGAUCGGCUAACUCCGUGCCAGCAGCCGCGGUAAUACGGAGGAUCCGGGCGUUAUCCGGAUUUAUUGGGUUUAAAGGGUGCGUAGGCCGCCUCUUAAGGCUGUGGUGAAAUGCUGUGGCUCAACCGUAGAAUUGCCGUGGGAACUGGGGGGCUUGAGUAUGUCUGAGGCAGGCGGAAUGCGUGGUGUAGCGGUGAAAUGCUUAGAUAUCACGAAGAACCCCGAUUGCGAAGGCAGCCUGCCAUGCCAUGACUGACGCUGAGGCACGAAGGCGUGGGGAUCAAACAGGAUUAGAUACCCUUGUAGUC